UACGUAGGCAGCAAGCGUUGUUCGGAGUUACUGGGCGUAAAGGGUGCGUACGGCGGUUGUUUAAGUUUGGUGUGAAACUCUCCCGGCUCAACUGGGAGGGUGCGCCGAAUACUGAAUGACUAGAGUGCGGGAGAGGAGAGUGGAAUUCCUGGUGUAGCGGUGAAAUGCGUAGAUAUCAGGAGGAACACCGGUGGUGUAGACGGCUCUCUGGACCGUAACUGACGCUGAGGCACGAAAGCGUGGGUAGCAAACAGG
rnacentral:rRNA from 1 species